rnacentral:tRNA from 1 species
GGCGGGCUAGCGUAAUGGUUAACGCGCUAGUUUCCGGAGCUAGAGAUUCUGGGUUCGAGUCCCAGGCUCGUCG